rnacentral:rRNA from 1 species
GAACUGAAGAGUUUGAUCAUGGCUCAGAUUGAACGCUGGCGGCAGGCCUAACACAUGCAAGUCGAGCGGAUGAAGGGAGCUUGCUCCUGGAUUCAGCGGCGGACGGGUGAGUAAUGCCUAGGAAUCUGCCUGGUAGUGGGGGAUAACGUCCGGAAACGGGCGCUAAUACCGCAUACGUCCUGAGGGAGAAAGUGGGGGAUCUUCGGACCUCACGCUAUCAGAUGAGCCUAGGUCGGAUUAGCUAGUUGGUGGGGUAAAGGCCUACCAAGGCGACGAUCCGUAACUGGUCUGAGAGGAUGAUCAGUCACACUGGAACUGAGACACGGUCCAGACUCCUACGGGAGGCAGCAGUGGGGAAUAUUGGACAAUGGGCGAAAGCCUGAUCCAGCCAUGCCGCGUGUGUGAAGAAGGUCUUCGGAUUGUAAAGCACUUUAAGUUGGGAGGAAGGGCAGUAAGUUAAUACCUUGCUGUUUUGACGUUACCAACAGAAUAAGCACCGGCUAACUUCGUGCCAGCAGCCGCGGUAAUACGAAGGGUGCAAGCGUUAAUCGGAAUUACUGGGCGUAAAGCGCGCGUAGGUGGUUCAGCAAGUUGGAUGUGAAAUCCCCGGGCUCAACCU